CAGUCGAGCGAGACCUUCGGGUCUAGCGGCGGACGGGUGAGUAACGCGUGGGAACGUGCCCUUUGCUACGGAAUAGUCCCGGGAAACUGGGUUUAAUACCGUAUGUGCCCUUCGGGGGAAAGAUUUAUCGGCAAAGGAUCGGCCCGCGUUGGAUUAGGUAGUUGGUGGGGUAAUGGCCUACCAAGCCGACGAUCCAUAGCUGGUUUGAGAGGAUGAUCAGCCACACUGGGACUGAGACACGGCCCAGACUCCUACGGGAGGCAGCAGUGGGGAAUCUUAGACAAUGGGGGCAACCCUGAUCUAACCGUGCCGCGUGAGUGAUGAAGGCCUUAGGGUUGUAAAGCUCUUUCAGCUGGGAAGAUAAUGACGGUACCA
rnacentral:rRNA from 1 species